rnacentral:rRNA from 1 species
UUAUGGCUCAGGAUGAACGCUGGCGGCGUGCCUAACACAUGCAAGUCGAACGAAGCAUAUUUAACGGAGAUUCGUCGAAGCUGGAUAUGACUUAGUGGCGGACGGGUGAGUAAUGUAUGAGCAACCUGCCUUUCAGAGGGGGACAACAGUUGGAAACGACUGCUAAUACCGCAUAAUGUAUUUGGGUGGCAUCACCUGGAUACCAAAGGAGCAAUCCGCUGAAAGAUGGGCUCAUAUCUGAUUAGCUUGUUGGCGGGGUAACGGCCCACCAAGGCGACGAUCAGUAGCCGGACUGAGAGGUUGAACGGCCACAUUGGGACUGAGAUACGGCCCAGACUCCUACGGGAGGCAGCAGUGGGGAAUAUUGGGCAAUGGGCGAAAGCCUCGACCCAGCAACGCCGCGUGAAGGAAGAAGGUCUUCGGAUUGUAAACUUCUUUUAUGAGGGACGAAGGACGUGACGGUACCUCAUGAAUAAGCCACGGCUAACUACGUGCCAGCAGCGGC